AUUAUUAUUUUCUGUCUCUUUGUAUAUAUGUUGCUUUUUAACCUCUAUAGAGAUUCUUUCAACAACAAAAAAUAUGUAGAGAUCAGUACUGCUAAAGAUAAUAUUUAUGCUAUUAUUUGCAUAUUUCUAAUACUUUGUAAAAAUCGCUCUCUUCAUAUGUAAUAUUUUUUUUGCAAGAUUCCUGCGAUAUUUAAAAAAAAAAAAAAAAGUAGAGAUACAUAUUUAUUGAAUGAUGUCAAUCAAGUGAUACAUAUUUUUUUAAUCAAGUGAUACAUUUCCAUCUUGAUGUCUGUCCUUUAUCCUGGUUUAUCAAAAAAAAAUAUCUCUACAUUUUGCAAGAUAUUUAUUGAAAUACAAUGUUUUUUAAUCGCAAAAUGUAUCUCUACAUAUUUAUUUUAAAUGUAUCUCUACUUAUUUUUUGAAAUACAUAUUUAAAAAAUAUGUAUUUUACUUAUGAAGAGAUACAUAUUUAUUGAAAAUGUGAAUCAAGUGAUUAACAUUUUUUUAAUCAACAUUUUGCGAUAUUUAAAAUGUUAAUCCUACGAUAUUUAAAAAUAAAAAUAAGUAGAGAUACAUAUUUAUUGAAAAUGUUAAUCAAGUGAUUAACAUUUUUUUAAUCAACAUUUUGCCAAUUCUUUAUAAAAUCUCAUUUGGCCAUUCAUUUUACUUUUGUGUUGAACUGAAAAUUGAGAUUGUACUCGUGCUUUAUUGUCUGAUAAGACUCAAGAUUCGCAGCACACCAAAGCUACUCAUAGAGUUAACAUUUCCCUCAUGCAAGUCUGUUUCGAAUUUGUAAAUCAAAGUUCUUCUUAUAAUGACACGAAUUUUGUUUCCCUGAAAACGUAAACAAACAAUUAAUUAAUAAUACAUCACAAUUAAAAAAAAAGUUAAAGGAAAAAAACAGAAUAUACACACCAAUGCAUCCAUCAAAACCAUGUCUAGAGAAAACGGGUGUGAGUCGGAUUGACAUCACAAACAAACCAAGCAGGGACAAUCUAAACAACUACGAUUCAUUUCCUUCACAUGGCUUAUCUCAUAGAUGUUAUAAUAUCGUUUUUUAGGUUGCAGGGAGAAGAAG
rnacentral:lncRNA from 1 species